rnacentral:rRNA from 1 species
CCUACGGGAGGCAGCAGUAGGGAAUAUUGGUCAAUGGACGCAAGUCUGAACCAGCCAUGCCGCGUGCAGGAAGAAGGUCCUCUGGAUUGUAAACUGCUUUUGUCCGGGAAUAAAUCUGUCUUAAGAGGCGGUUGAAGGUACCGGGAGAAUAAGCACCGGCUAACUCCGUGCCAGCAGCCGCGGUAAUACGGAGGGUGCAAGCGUUGUCCGGAUUUAUUGGGUUUAAAGGGUGCGUAGGCGGCCUGUUAAGUCAGUGGUGAAAUGCGGUGGCUCAACCAUCGAACUGCCAUUGAUACUGACGGGCUUGAGUACAGUUGAGGUAGUUGGAAUGAGUAGUGCAGCGGUGAAAUGCAUAGAUAUUACUCAGAACACCGAUUGCGAAGGCAGAUUACUAAACUGGAACUGACGCUGAGGCACGAAAGUGUGGGGAUCAAACAGGAUUAGAUACCCUGGUAGUCCACACUGUAAACGUUGGAUACUCGAUGCGCGCGAUAAACAGUGCGUGUCCAAGCGAAAGCGAUAAGUAUCCCACCUGGGAAGUACGCCCGCAAGGGUGAAACUCAAAGGAAUUGACGG